rnacentral:rRNA from 1 species
GCAAGUCGAGGGGUAACAUUGUAGCUUGCUACAGAUGACGACCGGCGCACGGGUGCGUAACGCGUAUGAAACCUACCUUAUACAGGGAGAUAGCCCAGAGAAAUUUGGAUUAAUAUCCCAUAGUACUGUUAGUUCACAUGAACCAAUAGUUAAAGAUUUAUCGGUAUAAGAUGGUCAUGCGUUCUAUUAGUUAGUUGGUAAGGUAACGGCUUACCAAGACCGCGAUAGAUAGGGGCCCUGAGAGGGGGAUC